ACCACCGGUGCUCAGAAACAAGGCUUACCAGAACCUUAACAAGUACAAACAUUUAUAGGAACAGAAAGAUACACUUACAUUUUAUCAGGAUAUAAAAAGAACUGAAGGCAAUCAAGGAAGUACCCUUGUUCUACCCUGUGUAUUUCACCAGUGUAACUUUAUGUUGCUCUAGAGUGGAAUUUCCCUCUUCUCUCCUGCAAGGAAAAUUUCCCAGAGAUCUACCGUGCCCUCCUUGGGUGUCACUCUGGACUCUUGCACCACUCCCAAACACUGGCUGGAGCUCCCUGCCCACACCCAGCACACACCUCUGAAUAUCCACGGAAGGAGCAGAGAUCUACUCCAAAGAGAAAAGGAUCAGAGGAGAAAAUCAACAAGCAGCUCCACAGAUGCCUAGAAAUAAACAUAGAAAUAAGAGAAACAUGAACAAGGAAGACAACAGUACUCCCCCAAAGGAACACAACGUUACAUCAAUAUUAGAACCUGAAGGCGAUGAAAUGCCUAA